rnacentral:misc_RNA from 1 species
GGAAAGCUUACUUAAUGAGGUUGUAAAUCUGGUUGAGGCACCUGUUCCAGUACUAGGGAAGUUUAAAGGGUCCUUCUUAGAGCUUCCAGAAGAUCUUCUAACAAUGGUUAUGCAGAAGCACCAAAAGUAUUUUGCUGUAGUUGAUGAUAGUGGAAAGCUUCUGCCACACUUCAUUGCUGUGGCAAAUGGAGUUAUCAAUGAGACGGUAGUAAGAAAAGGGAAUGAAGCUGUGCUAAGAGCUCGUUAUGAAGAUGCAAAAUUUUUUUAUGAGAUGGACACCCGUAAGAAGUUCUCAGAGUUCAGGAGUCAACUAAAAGGGAUUCUUUUUCAUGAGAAGCUUGGAACAAUGCUUGACAAGACUAUGCG